UCGAGAAUCUUCGGCAAUGGGCGAAAGCCUGACCGAGCGACGCCGCGUGCGGGAUGAAGGCCUUCGGGUUGUAAACCGCUGUCGUAGGGGAUGAAAUAUCGGUGGGUUCUCCCAUCGGUUUGACUGAUCCUAGGAGGAAGGGUGGGCUAAGUUCGUGCCAGCAGCCGCGGUAAGACGUACCACCCGAACGUUAUUCGGAAUCACUGGGCUUAAAGAGUCCGUAGGCGGCUUGGAAAGUUGGGUGUGAAAUACCUCGGCUCAACCGAGGAACUGCACUCAAAACUGCCAAGCUCGAGAGAGACAGAGGUGAGCGGAACUGAUGGUGGAGCGGUGAAAUGCGUUGAUAUCAUCAGGAACACCGGUGGCGAAAGCGGCUCACUGGGUCUUUUCUGACGCUGAGGGACGAAAGCUAGGGGAGCGAACG
rnacentral:rRNA from 1 species